UAAUACGGAGGGUCCAAGCGUUAUCCGGAUUUAUUGGGUUUAAAGGGUCCGUAGGCGGGUUAAUAAGUCAGUGGUGAAAUCCUACAGCUCAACUGUAGAACUGCCAUUGAAACUGUUAACCUUGAAUAUAAUUGAAGUAGGCGGAAUGUGUCAUGUAGCGGUGAAAUGCUUAGAUAUGCCACAGAACACCGAUUGCGAAGGCAGCUUACUAAGUUAUUAUUGACGCUGAGGGACGAAAGCGUGGGUAGCGAACAGGAUUAGAUACCCUGGUAGUCCACGCCGUAAACGAUGUAUACUCGUUGCUAGCGAUACACAGUUAGUGACCAAGCGAAAGUAUUAAGUAUACCACCUGGGGAGCACGAUCGCAAGAUUG
rnacentral:rRNA from 1 species